AUUCCCUUCUCCAGGGUAUCUUCCCUACCCAGGGAUCGAACCCACAUCGCCUGUAUUUGCAGCACAUCCUAACUCCUCGGGGAGGGCAACAUCUGUUCCUGCAGGGGGAAUGUUUCCAGCCUUCUCAUUGGUUCCCCCCAGCUUUAGACUCCAGGGAAACCAGCUCUCCCUCAUUCUUGUGGAUUCCCUAGAUUUUUGCAUGGAGAUUUAUGAAAAAGAGACUUGUAAUGCUUCAGUGUUAAUUAGAUAUCACAGUCUUUUGAACGAUAAAAACGAGACUAAAAGGAUGAUCUGAAAAAAGAAAAAGAAAAGCAAAGGAGAUUUAGAAAAGAUUUCAAAGAUUCUUUAAAACCACUAGGAAAUUCUCUCUUCAGAAGGAAAAAAAAAUUCUACAACAAAUAUGAAAAUUAUUCUGCUUCAAAUACUUAGCUUAUUUACUGUUAAAAUAUUAAUAUUGUGCCUUCCUAGACUGACACUAACUUUUAAAUUUCAGGCAUUUAGAUUUAGAGUUCAACUCACAGCUUACUAAAGUGUGGAAUGUGAUUCGCUAAU
ensembl:lncRNA